rnacentral:rRNA from 1 species
UACGUAGGGGGCUAGCGUUGUCCGGAAUCAUUGGGCGUAAAGAGCGUGUAGGCGGUCCGGUAAGUCCGUUGUGAAAGUCAAAGGCUCAACCUUUGAAAGCCGGUGGAUACUGUGGGACUAGAGUACGGAAGAGGCGAGUGGAAUUCCUGGUGUAGCGGUGGAAUGCGCAGAUAUCAGGAGGAACACCAAUAGCGAAGGCAGCUCGCUGGGACGUUACUGACACUGAGGCGCGAAAGCGUGGGGAGCGAACAGG